rnacentral:rRNA from 1 species
ACAGUAGUCGAGGUGCUGCAUGGCUGUCGUCAGCUCGUGUCGUGAGAUGUUGGGUUAAGUCCCGCAACGAGCGCAACCCUUGUCCUGUGUUGCAACUUACAGGCACUCUCAGGAGACCGCCAGCGAUAAGCUGGAGGAAGGUGGGGAUGACGUCAAGUCAUCAUGGCCUUUAUGUCCAGGGCUACACACGUGCUACAAUGGACGGUACAAACCGUCGCAAACCCGCGAGGGGGAGCAAAUCGGAAAAAACCGUUCUCAGUUCGGAUUGCAGGCUGCAACCCGCCUGCAUGAAGCUGGAAUCGCUAGUAAUGGUAUAUCAGAACGAUACCGUGAAUACGUUCCCGGGCCUUGUACACACCGCCCGUCACAUCACGAAAGUGGGUUGUACUAGAAGUCUGCGCGCCAACCGCAAGGAGGCAGCGGCCCAAGGUAUGACUCAUGAUUGGGGUGAAGUCGUAACAAGGUAAGCGUAGCGAG